ensembl:lncRNA
UUCUUUUUCGGCUUCGCCUUCGUCUGUAAGACAUUUUUGUACUUGAGCGCCAUCAAGUCGUACUUUUAUGUAACUUCGUUGGCUCCGUGCAUGUAGACAAAAACGCGAAUCUCAUCGGUCGGCCAGUUCUUGACGUGGCACGUCAGGAUCGUUGUCUUGCUGCAUGACCCACUUUCUCUUCAGAUUCUGUUCAUGGACGGAUGUCCUGAUAUUUUCCUUUAGAAAUCGCUGGUAUCGUUCAGAAUUCAGCCAUCAAUGUCUGCAAGUCGUCCUGGUCCAGAUGCAGCAAAACAGACCCAAACCAUGACACUACCACCACCAUGUUUCACAGAUGGGAUAAAGUUCUUAUGCUGGAAUGCAGUGUUUUCCUUUCUCCAAACAUAACGCUUCUCAAAGUGCAUGAACACCGGCUGGAAGAAGAAACCUUCAGGUGGAAGAAGAGGAAGAAAUUAGUACCUUACCUGAAUAUAUACUGGAUCUGUACGUGACUUGAAUAGAGAUCAGAACAUUAUUCUGAUAAUAAUAUUUUUAACAAAGGCCACGUUAAAAUAAAGAGGACACAAACUCAACAGUCGAGCAUGAACAACCACUUAUCAAAACUACUUAAUAUUAUGUGUGUCCUGUGAACCGAGCAGCCAGCCAAAUUCCCAUUCCUGAGUCAGGCAACAAAACUGUAAAAAACAAACAAACAAAAAACUUGCUGAUACGACAUACGCCUGUGAUGUUUAUGUGAAAAAAAAAAAAACUAAUGUAAAAAUUAGGUUUUUUUUUUUUUUUAAUUUUUUUAAAAAUACUUAAAAAAAAUAUUUUUAAAAUUUAAAUUUAAGUUUAAUGAAAUUUAACUUUAAUUAAUUUUAAAAAAAAUAAUUUUUAAUACUUACAUACAUACUGUACAUACAGUACUGUGCAAAAGUUUUAGGCAUAUGCAAAGAAAUGCUGUAGAUGCCUUCAAAAUACUGAAAUACAGUAAAGAGCAGUAAACAGUAGUAAAUGACACAAAGUCAAUAUUUAGUGUGACAAAAAAUAAAAAUAAAAUAGUAGUCUCAGGUAGAGUUAGUGCAGUUUUAUAAGGAAAUGAGCUGUAAUUUUAUUGAGCAUCUUGCAGAAUGCCGCUUUCUUUACUGAUGAACAUUUUUCUGUAACAUUUAAUUUUGUGCUGGAAAACUAAUGUUUGGGAAUCUAAAAUGUGUUUGUACUGACUCGAUAUGUCGAAGUCAUCAAAUAAAAAUCUGUAACAAAGUUUGUACUAAAAAAAAAAUAGGUGCCUAAAACUUUUGCACAGUACUGUAUGUAUUUUUCUUUAGGUUUUUAGUUCCCAAAAUCCUUAGGCAUAUUUGUAUACUAAUAUAUGUAUUUUGUUGUUAUACAUUUUUUUAGAUUUAAAUUCGCAUUCAC